UACGAAGGGGGGCGAGCGUUGUCCGGAAUUAUUGGGCGUAAAGAGCUCGUAGGCGGCUUGUCACGUCGGGUGUGAAAGACCGGGGCUUAACUCCGGUUCUGCAUUCGAUACGGGCUAGCUAGAGUGUGGUAGGGGAGAUCGGAAUUCCUGGUGUAGCGGUGAAAUGCGCAGAUAUCAGGAGGAACACCGGUGGCGAAGGCGGAUCUCUGGGCCAUUACUGACGCUGAGGAGCGAAAGCGUGGGGAGCGAACAGG
rnacentral:rRNA from 1 species